UGCGCAGGCGGGUUUGUAAGUCAGUGGUGAAAUCCUGCCGCUUAACGGUAGAAUUGCCAUUGAUACUGCGAAUCUUGAGUAUGGUUGAGGUAGGCGGAAUGUGUAGUGUAGCGGUGAAAUGCAUAGAUAUUACACAGAACUCCGAUUGCGAAGGCAGCUUACUAAGCCAUAACUGAGGCUGAGGCACGAAAGCGUGGGGAGCGAACAGGAUUAGAUACCCUGGUAGUCC
rnacentral:rRNA from 1 species